rnacentral:rRNA from 1 species
GUGCACCAGUCGCGAAACCUCCGCAAUGCACGCAAGUGCGACGGGGGAACCCCAAGUGCCACUCUUAACGGGGUGGCUUUUCAGAAGUGUAAAAAGCUUCUGGAAUAAGGGCUGGGCAAGACCGGUGCCAGCCGCCGCGGUAACACCGGCAGCUCAAGUGGUAGCCGCCUUUAUUGGGCCUAAAGCGUCCGUAGCCGGUCUGAUAAGUCUCUGGUGAAAUCCCACAGCUUAACUGUGGGAAUUGCUGGAGAUACUAUCAUGACUCGAGGUCGGGAGAGGCUGGAGGUACUCCCAGGGUAGGGGUGAAAUCCUGUAAUCCUGGGAGGACCACCUGUGGCGGAGGCGUCCAGCUGGAACGAACCUGACGGUGAGGGACGAAAGCCAGGGGCGCGAACCGGAUUAGAUACCCACGUAGUCC